CCAGCAGCAUGGAAGGAAAUGCAGGCCUGUAUGGAUUUCUUUUCAGUCUGCCCUUAAUUCCUGUUCUAGAGCCUCUCUUUCUUGAUCUUUCACAUCUUUUCCUUUUAAUAUGCUUCCCAUGUCCGAUUGUCAACUGUUUAGACAGGUUUGACAGGUUUCUGCAAUUUUUACCAUGUUCCAUUGAGAUUCCAAGCUGGAAGAGUUCCUGGCGUGUGUUUGAGUUUACAGACCUCUCUGCUACCAGUUCAUCAAGCAUGCAGCACAGUGAGAUUUAAGAUUGGAUUUCCAGAAGAUUCUCAAGAUUGUUGGUUGAAUUAAAGAGUUGUGACGACUGAUAAAAACAAAUUUGGUUGAGAGAAGUAUUUGUUAUUGUCAAGAAGGAGAAGAAUGUCUGGACUUUCAGAAGUUAUGGCUUCUAGAAAUACUGAAAAGGUUACCUGUGGUACAGUACAAUCUCAUGCAUCCAAUGUUAACAGGAACAACUUGCUGCACAAGAAAUAAGUGUUCUGACAUACACCUCAAACAGCAGAGCCAAAUGCAAGCUCAAGAUGCUGGAGUGACCAGCCUGGAGAAAGCGGUCAUGUCCAAAUUGAGUAAAAACAACCUUCCAAAG